rnacentral:rRNA from 1 species
UACGGGGGGGGGCAAGCGUUGUUCGGAAUUACUGGGCGUAAAGGGCUCGUAGGUGGCCAACUAAGUCAGACGUGAAAUCCCUCGGCUCAACCGGGGACUGCGUCUGAGACUGGAAGGCUUGAAGUUCGGGAGAGGGAUGUGGAAUUCCAGGUGUAGCGGUGAAAUGCGUAGAUAUCGUGGAGGAACACCGGUGGCGAAGGCGGCAUCCUGGACCAACACUGGACACUGAGGAGCGAAAGCCAGGGGAGCAAACGGG